GGAGAGGUGGCCGAGCGGCCUAAGGCGCACGCCUCGAAAGCGUGAGCGCGGCAAAACCGCGCCAGGGGUUCGAAUCCCUUCCUCUCCG
rnacentral:tRNA from 1 species